GUGUCCACCUCAGCAGCACUUGUACCAAAAUUGGAACAAUACAAUGAAGAUAAAAAUGGCCUCUGCACAAGGCUACGGAAACUCAUGAGUAUACCUUAGUAUAA